AUUGAACGCUGGCGGCAUGCUUUACACAUGCAAGUCGAACGGUAACAGGUUAAGCUGACGAGUGGCGAACGGGUGAGUAAUGCAUCGGAACGUGCCCGAUCGUGGGGGAUAACGCAGCGAAAGCUGCGCUAAUACCGCAUACGAUCUGAGGAUGAAAGCGGGGGACCGUAAGGCCUCGCGCGAUCGGAGCGGCCGAUGUCAGAUUAGGUAGUUGGUGGGGUAAAGGCUCACCAAGCCAACGAUCUGUAGCUGGGAUGAGAGGACGACCAGCCACACUGGGACUGAGACACGGCCCAGACUCCUACGGGAGGCAGCAGUGGGGAAUUUUGGACAAUGGGCGAAAGCCUGAUCCAGCAAUGCCGCGUGCAGGAAGAAGGCCUUCGGGUUGUAAACUGCUUUUGUACGGAGCGAAAAGGUCUCCUCUAAUACAGGGGGCUCAUGACGGUACCGUAAGAAUAAGCACCGGCUAACUACGUGCCAGCCGCCGCCGUAA
rnacentral:rRNA from 1 species